UGGGGCGUCGCCAAGCGGUAAGGCACCGGACUCUGACUCCGGCAUUUCGUUGGUUCAAAUCCAGCCGCCCCAGCCA
rnacentral:tRNA from 2 species